rnacentral:rRNA from 1 species
GACGGUGAAAGAGAGCUUGCUCUCUGGAUCAGUGGCGAACGGGUGAGUAACACGUGAGCAAUCUGCCCUUGACUCUGGGAUAAGCGCUGGAAACGGCGUCUAAUACCGGAUACGAGCUGCGAAGGCAUCUUCAGCAGCUGGAAAGAACUUCGGUCAAGGAUGAGCUCGCGGCCUAUCAGCUUGUUGGUGAGGUAAUGGCUCACCAAGGCGUCGACGGGUAGCCGGCCUGAGAGGGUGACCGGCCACACUGGGACUGAGACACGGCCCAGACUCCUACGGGAGGCAGCAGUGGGGAAUAUUGCACAAUGGGCGCAAGCCUGAUGCAGCAACGCCGCGUGAGGGACGACGGCCUUCGGGUUGUAAACCUCUUUUAGCAGGGAAGAAGCGAAAGUGACGGUACCUGCAGAAAAAGCACCGGCUAACUACGUGCCAGCAGCCGCGGUAAUACGUAGGGUGCAAGCGUUAUCCGGAAUUAUUGGGCGUAAAGAGCUCGUAGGCGGUUUGUCACGUCUGCUGUGAAAACUGGAGGCUCAACCUCCAGCCUGCAGUGAGUACGGGCAGACUAGAGUGCGGUAGGGGAGAUUGGAAUUCCUGGUGUAGCGGUGGAAUGCGCAGAUAUCAAGAGGAACACCGAUGGCGAAAGGCAGAUCUCUGGGCCGUAACUGACGCUGAGAAGCGAAAGGGUGGGGAGCAAACAGGCUUAGAUACCCUGGAAGUCCACCCCGUAAACGUAGGGAACUAGUUGAGGGGUCCAUUCCACGGAUUCCGAGACGCAGCUAACGCAUUAAGUUCCCCACCUGG